GCUAAGGGGGCAUUUGGUUCCCCCCCCGACUCACGUCCUUGGCUGAGAUCAUCAGAAUUCCGAGGAGGUCAGCCAAGGAGACAGAUUGGGGGCAGACCUGCGUGGUGCUGGAAAUAAGGUGAGGGACAGUUAAUUAUUUUAACACAGGUUUGUGUUCCUGAUCCAAUACUGUUCCUUUAAGCGUAACGGCUGCUCUGGAGUCUAACACCCAAGUCAGUUCUGCUGAAGUUGGAGUAUUGGGCCUAGAUGUUAAUUUGAUGCAUUUCCUUACU